rnacentral:rRNA from 1 species
AUUGAACGCUGGCGGCAUGCCUUACACAUGCAAGUCGAACGGUAACAGGUCUUCGGAUGCUGACGAGUGGCGAACGGGUGAGUAAUACAUCGGAACGUGCCUAGUAGUGGGGGAUAACUACUCGAAAGAGUGGCUAAUACCGCAUGAGAUCUACGGAUGAAAGCAGGGGAUCGCAAGACCUUGUGCUACUAGAGCGGCCGAUGGCAGAUUAGGGAGUUGGUGGGAUAAAAGCUUACCAAGCCGACGAUCUGUAGCUGGUCUGAGAGGACGAUCAGCCACACUGGGACUGGGAAACGGCCCAGACUCCUACGGGAGGCAGCAGUGGGGAAUUUUGGACAAUGGGCGCAAGCCUGAUCCAGCAAUGCCGCGUGCAGGAUGAAGGCCUUCGGGUUGUAAACUGCUUUUGUACGGAACGAAAAGCCCCGGGUUAAUACCCUGGGGUCAUGACGGUACCGUAGAAUAAGCACCGGCUAACUACGUGCCAGCAGCCGCGGUAA